AUUGAACGCUGGCGGCAGGCUUAACACAUGCAAGUCGAGCGGGGGAAGGUAGCUUGCUACCGGACCUAGCGGCGGACGGGUGAGUAAUGCUUAGGAAUCUGCCUAUUAGUGGGGGACAACAUCUCGAAAGGGAUGCUAAUACCGCAUACGUCCUACGGGAGAAAGCAGGGGAUCUUCGGACCUUGCGCUAAUAGAUGAGCCUAAGUAGGAUUAGCUAGUUGGUGGGGUAAAGGCCCACCAAGGCGACGAUCUGUAGCGGGUCUGAGAGGAUGAUCCGCCACACUGGGACUGAGACACGGCCCAGACUCCUACGGGAGGCAGCAGUGGGGAAUAUUGGACAAUGGGGGGAACCCUGAUCCAGCCAUGCCGCGUGUGUGAAGAAGGCCUUAUGGUUGUAAAGCACUUUAAGCGAGGAGGAGGCUACUUUAGUUAAUACCUAGAGAUAGUGGACGUUACUCGCAGAAUAAGCACCGGCUAACUCUGUGCCAGCCGCCGCCGUAAAAC
rnacentral:rRNA from 1 species